AUUUAUCUACCAUUCUCAGUGCUCUCUUUAAAGGUUUAUUCAGAGUCUCUGACUGUGUGGUGAAGUAAACACUGAUGAUAACUUGAUACUUUCUUUCCAUUUGAAGUUCAGUAUUGCUCGGUCUCACGACUUGGAAACAGUGGCUACUAAAGGCAAAUCACAAGUUAAGUGUAAGCAGCAGUAAGUUGUAAAGGAGGGGAAUAUUGAGUAAGAGAAAGAGAAUGCAAGGGUGGAGCAGAGACGUAUAAAGGAGAAAAGAAAUGGAAAAUGGUUGAUGGUGAUGAAUCAAAGGUUUCUUAUUCUCAGUCUUUCUAAUACUCAAGCAGCAGCAGCAGUUCUAAAGGACAGGAAUAUUCAGAAAGGGAAAGAAAACACAAAAAGGGAAAAGAAAUGGAAAAUGGAACGGUAGAUGGUCAUCAAUAACAGCUUUCUUAUUCUUACUUUGUCUCACACUCAAGGAUGUAGUCCCACCUUGUAGAAGAUAACCAGGCUUUAAGAUGGGUUGGUCUAAAGUUGUAGUAGAAGUGAUUAGUUUUGUAUGGAGACAC